UACGGGGGGGGCAAGCGUUGUUCGGAAUUACUGGGCGUAAAGGGCGCGUAGGCGGUCUGUUAAGUUGGAUGUGAAAACUCUGGGCUUAACCCAGAGCCUGCAUCCAAAACUAGCAGGCUAGAGUUCUGGAGGGGAUAGCGGAAUUCCUGGUGUAGCGGUGAAAUGCGUAGAUAUCAGGAGGAACACCGGUGGCGAAGGCGGCUAUCUGGACAGAAACUGACGCUGAGUCGCGAAAUCUAGGGGAGCAAACAGG
rnacentral:rRNA from 1 species